GAGCCACCUGAGACGCUAGUACGGCAGAUUUACUUAACGAUUCACUUAAUCACUUAAAGAUUCUCUUCCCUUUUCUCUCAUUGGGAAUAAUACCUAAGGCAUUUUGUGUCAGAGCUCUGGAGUUAGAUUUUUUUUCCUUUUUUUUUACUUUCUAAAAAAAUCUUUUUUCCUUUUUUUAUUUCAUUUUUUCAUGUAUUUAUUUUUUAUAACUUUUGAUUUUUUUUUCUUUUAUCAUUUGUGGGGUUUUUUCUACUUUUUCUUUUUGGUUAUUGUGGAGUUAGAUUUUCUUGAGUAUGAGUAUGAAUGGAGAAAGUCACUUAACUUCUCUAAAAGACUCAGUUUCUUCUACAAAGUGUGAUAAUGAAACACUUCACCGAUAUGAUAACCUUAGAGCCAGCUGGGGAAGAAGAGUAGGACGUCCCCAGGAGCACAAAAGUAGAAAGGAGAUUCUACUCAGCAGAGAAAAUGGGAUGCACAAACGCCUGGAGGCAUGAGACUUUAUCUGCUGAGGCUCCAGCUUGGAAGGGAGGAGUUGAGGUUUAAUUUAGAAGACAAGUCAAGGGAGAUAUAGAAAUAGCAGCUGUCAUCACAGUGCUUUACUUGAUCACGAGCCCUUUGUCCAGCCCGCAUCCCCUACCCCUUUAAGGGAGGCAGGCCCAAGCAGUACCUUGCAUAGAAACGACUGCUUUCUAUACCGUAUGACCCCCAGCUGACAGGUGGCUGGACGAAGGGUCUGGCAACCGGCAAAGUGUCUGCAAACCUCUGCGCAAACUGAGAAAAUCAAGUCCAAUCAAUAUUCUCUCCUGCUUGAAAAUUGUUUCUGGGAAAAGCAAGAAUUGAAGCUGAAAAGAUGUGGAGAAUCCAUGAGCCAAAAUUAUAAAUAUAUUGAAGCCUCUAGAAUGUAGAGUCAGACAUAUUCAGACGUGCUCAUAGGGCCCAGGAGGUUCUUCCAGCUUUUGAUUCAAACUCAAGGAGUUACUUAAAAGCUGAAAUGUUAUUUUUAAUAAUACUUUUAACGAACAGCAGCGCCCUGGCGGCUCAGCUUUGCGCGGGCUGCAGCAGGCAGGCAGGCAUGGACACGCCCUUCCCUGCGGGUAAGAUUCCCAAGAGAAAGAUCAGCUCAGCAGAAGGGGCGGUGAAGAUCUGCGAGGUUGUCAGCUAAAUCUCCUCCAGCAAAAGUGGAAACGAAGCCCAGCGAAGGCAGCAGGACAGCAUAAAUUUUCAGACAAAGAAACAAGGGAAAAUGGGAGCAAAGGGCAAACAGGCCAAGUGGCUAUCCGGGAAACAAAAGAUUUACCUGUGGAAAACGGGGAAACUGAAACAAGGAGAGUACAGCCUCUGGUGAAGCAGGACAGAAAGAAGCCAAAUCUGAUUAGUAUCACAUACCAUAUCUUAUCAAUGGUCCUUAUCUCCCUUCUUGUACAAUCCAGAGCUAGACAGAGAGAGAAAAAGAGACAGAGUGUUGCUGGGCCCGGGCUGGAGUCCGGUAGCACAAUCAUAGCUCUCUGCACCCUGGAACCCCUGGGCUCAAGCGAUUCACUUACCUCAGCCUCCCAAGUAGCUGGGACCACAGACAGUCUCUGCGCCCAGACUGGAGUGCAGUGUCACAAUCUCGGCUCACUGCAAACCUCCGCCGCUCCCAUCCACCACCAGGCUCAAGCAAUUUUCCUGCGUCAGCCUCCCAAGUAGCUGGGAUUAUAGGCACCAACCACCGUGCCGGCUAAUUUUUGUGUUUUUAGUAGAGACGGGAUUUUGCCAUAUUGGCCAGGCUGGUCUUGAACUCCUGACCUCAGGUGAUCCGCCCGCCUCAGCCUCCCAAAGUGCUGGGAUUACAGGCAUGGGCCACCACGCUCAGCCUAAAAAAAUUUUUAAUAAGACUGGUAAAGAGAAUUACUGCAGACUCAAUACAGUGAAGGAAAUUUGCAUGCUUUAUGUCCAUGUUUUUAUCUUGUAUAUGGUCUCUAUUUAUUUUUUCUCUUCCUUUCUCUCUCUCCCCCUCCCUCCUUCCCUCCCUCCCUCUUGCUUUUCCCCUUCUUCCUCCUGCUCUUCCUCCUCCCCCUUCUUCUCCUUCUCCCUGUCCCCACUCUCUGUCUCCCACACACCCUUCAGUACAGGUCUGUUUCUUGGAAGAAAUAAAAGACGUUCUAGUA